AGCGAACGCUGGCGGCAGGCCUAACACAUGCAAGUCGAACGGAUCCUUCGGGAUUAGUGGCGGACGGGUGAGUAACACGUGGGAACGUGCCCUUUGGUUCGGAACAACUCAGGGAAACUUGAGCUAAUACCGGAUGUGCCCUUCGGGGGAAAGAUUUAUCGCCAUUGGAGCGGCCCGCGUCUGAUUAGCUAGUUGGUGAGGUAACGGCCCACCAAGGCGACGAUCAGUAGCUGGUCUGAGAGGAUGAUCAGCCACACUGGGACUGAGACACGGCCCAGACUCCUACGGGAGGCAGCAGGGGGGAAUCUUGCGCAAUGGGCGAAAGCCUGACGCAGCCAUGCCGCGUGAAUGAUGAAGGUCUUAGGAUUGUAAAAUUCUUUCAGCGGGGACGAUAAUGACGGUACCCGCAGAAGAAGCUCCGGCUAACUUCGUG
rnacentral:rRNA from 1 species